CCACGUAGCUUCUUCAGCAUUAUGGUUUCUCCAGAUUACCUUAACAGAAUGUAUCACUUUAUUCAUUAGUACUUAUUCUUUCCUGUCGAUAAUUUGAACAUGGACUUUCUCAUAUGACAAGUCUUUCUCAAAUUGUAAUGGCUCAUAUUCUAUAACAUGCUUAUAGUCAGGCUUAUAUGGCCUUAAUACCGAGACAUGAAAAAUAUUAUGAAUAUGUUCUAAUUCCGAAGGUAAAGCUACCUCGUAUGCCACUUCCCCAACUCGUCGUAGCACUUCAAAA
rnacentral:lncRNA from 1 species